rnacentral:rRNA from 1 species
GACGAACGCUGGCGGCGUGCCUAACACAUGCAAGUCGAACGGUCAGGCGCGUUCCUUUCUUGUGGGUGUGUAGGAGCGGCGAGGGGGUGAGUAACACGAGAGUAAACUUCUAACACCUUGAGGAUAUCCGGAAGACCGAGUGGCUAAUGCGGGAUAUUUUGGGUCUGUUGGAUGAUGAGUCUGAGAAAGUUCUUGUUUCGGUUAUGGAUGGGUCCGCGGCGUAUUAGCUUGUUGGUAAGGUGAUGGCCUACCAAGGCAACGAUGGAUAGCCGACCUGAGAGGGUGAUCGGCCACACUGGAACGACUGCACGGUCCAGACUACUCCGACAGGCAGCAGUAGGGAAUCUUACGCAAUGGGCGACAGAAUGACGAAGCAACGACGCGUGAGUGAUGAAGGUCGUCUGAUCGUUAAAAUCCUUUAUUGGGGAAGAACAUAUGUGCAAUUAACUGUGCACAUCUUGACGGUACCUAAACAGAAAGCCACGGCUAACUACGUG